GGGGAAUCUGCCUUUGAGCGGGGGACAACAUUUGGAAACGAAUGCUAAUACCGCAUAAAAACUUUAAACACAAGUUUUAAGUUUGAAAGAUGCAAUUGCAUCACUCAAAGAUGACCCCGCGUUGUAUUAGCUAGUUGGUGAGGUAAAGGCUCACCAAGGCGAUGAUACAUAGCCGACCUGAGAGGGUGAUCGGCCACAUUGGGACUGAGACACGGCCCAAACUCCUACGGGAGGCAGCAGUAGGGAAUCUUCGGCAAUGGACGAAAGUCUGACCGAGCAACGCCGCGUGAGUGAAGAAGGUUUUCGGAUCGUAAAACUCUGUUGGUAGAGAAGAGCGUUGGCGAGAGUGGAAAGCUCAUCAAGUGACGGUAACUACCCAGAAAGGGACGGCUAACUACGUGCCAGCAGCCGCGGUAAUACGUAGGUCCCGAGCGUUGUCCGGAUUUAUUGGGCGUAAAGCGAGCGCAGGUGGUUUAUUAAGUCUGGUGUAAAAGGCAGUGGCUCAACCAUUGUAUGCAUUGGAAACUGGUAGACUUGAGUGCAGGAGAGGAGAGUGGAAUUCCAUGUGUAGCGGUGAAAUGCGUAGAUAUAUGGAGGAACACCGGUGGCGAAAGCG
rnacentral:rRNA from 1 species